CCUACGGGAGGCAGCAGUAGGGAAUCUUUCACAAUGGGCGAAAGCCUGAUGGAGCAACGCAGCGUGCAGGAUGAAGGCCUUCGGGUUGUAAACUGCUUUUAUAAGCGAGAAAUAUGAUGGUAACUUAUGAAUAAGGAUCGGCUAACUACGGGCCAGCAGCCGCGGUCAUACGUAGGAUCCGAGAAUUAUCCGGAGUGACUGGGUGUAAAGAGUUGCGUAGGUGGAAUAAUAAGUAGCUAGUGAAAUCUGGUGGCUCAACCAUUCAGACUAUUAGCUAAACUGUUAAGCUCGAGACCGUUAGGGGUAACUGGAAUUUCUAGUGUAGGAGUGAAAUCCGUAGAUAUUAGAAGGAACACCAAUAGCGUAGGCAGGUUGCUGGGACGGUUCUGACACUAAGGCACGAAAGCGUAGGGAGCAAACGGGAUUAGAUACCCUUGUAGUC
rnacentral:rRNA from 1 species